AUGGAGCUGCCUGGUGCGUCAGGUAUAUCAACCCCCGGGCCGAUAAGCAUUCCUUAGGGAGCUGGCUCUGUCGUGGCCGUGGUCAUGUUAACCGGCGCCCACCUGCACUUGCAGGUCUAGGAGGGCUGAACAAACCAACGGCUUUGGUGGCUCCAUU
rnacentral:other from 1 species